GUGGGGAAUAUUGGACAAUGGGGGGAACCCUGAUCCAGCCAUGCCGCGUGUGUGAAGAAGGCCUUUUGGUUGUAAAGCACUUUAAGCGAGGAGGAGGCUACCGAGAUUAAUACUCUUGGAUAGUGGACGUUACUCGCAGAAUAAGCACCGGCUAACUCUGUGCCAGCAGCCGCGGUAAUACAGAGGGUGCAAGCGUUAAUCGGAUUUACUGGGCGUAAAGCGCGCGUAGGUGGCCAAUUAAGUCAAAUGUGAAAUCCCCGAGCUUAACUUGGGAAUUGCAUUCGAUACUGGGUGGCUAGAGUAUGGGAGAGGAUGGUAGAAUUCCAGGUGUAGCGGUGAAAUGCGUAGAGAUCUGGAGGAAUACCGAUGGCGAAGGCAGCCAUCUGGCCUAAUACUGACACUGAGGUGCGAAAGCAUGGGGAGCAAACAGGAUUAGAAACCCCUGUAGUCC
rnacentral:rRNA from 1 species